rnacentral:snoRNA from 1 species
AUCUGCCAUCGAAAGUGACCAUGGGCUGCCCGUGUCCUGUUCGUGGAUAGUGCAGGGAGAGGAAUGUGGAAAGCAGUUUCCUGUGUUUGAAGGGUCCACAGCUGUCCCUUUCAAAUGACGGCACUUUCAUACA